GCCUGGGUGGCUCAGUCGGUUGAGCGUCCGACUUCGGCUCAGGUCGUGAUCUCACAGUUCAUGGGUUCGAGCCCCACGUCGGGCU
rnacentral:tRNA from 1 species